AUACCUGUAUGAUAUACGUCUGGUGCAUUGCAGAUACGGAGGAACGGACACCGGUCGUGCCGUGAGCACUAUUCUGCAGGGCAUACUUACAAAUGAAGCUGCACUGCAGUUCAGCUGGAAAGGGUCGCAGGGGAGGAAGCACGCCUUCGUGAAGCUCAUGGCCAUCACGAAUAUAACAUCUGUGAGGAGCACGUUCCCUGACGCUUCACUAGCAUCAGUGGCUGGAGUCGCAAAACGCUGGUUGGUUGGAGCAGCUGACAGGGAUUGAGGCCGGAAUGAAAGAAGGCGCCGUGACCCUGCUUCAAGCCCACCAAAUAUGAACUAGUGUUUGAAACUUGUGAACGUGUCGGUGUACAUAU
rnacentral:lncRNA from 1 species